ACGGAGGGGGCUAGCGUUGUUCGGAAUUACUGGGCGUAAAGCGCGCGUAGGCGGACCUGCAAGUCGGGGGUGAAAGCCCGAGGCUCAACCUCGGAACUGCCUUCGAUACUGCGGGUCUCGAGUCCGGGAGAGGUGAGUGGAAUUCCUAGUGUAGAGGUGAAAUUCGUAGAUAUCAGGAGGAAUACCGGUGGCGAAGGCGGCCUUCUGGACGGUGACUGACGCUGAGACGCGAAAGCGUGGGGAGCAAACAGGA
rnacentral:rRNA from 1 species